rnacentral:rRNA from 1 species
AGAGCGAACGCUGGCGGCAGGCCUAACACAUGCAAGUCGAGCGCCCCGCAAGGGGAGCGGCAGACGGGAGAGUAACACGUGGGAACGUACCCUUCAGUUCGGAACAACCCAGGGAAACUUGGGCUAAUACCGAAUACGUCCGUAAGGAGAAAGAUUUAUCGCUGAAGGAUCGGCCCGCGUCUGAUUAGCUUGUUGGUGAGGUAACGGCUCACCAAGGCUACGAUCAGUAGCUGGUCUGAGAGGAUGAUCAGCCUCACUGGGACUGAGACACGGCCCAGACUCCUACGGGAGGCAGCAGUGGGGAAUAUUGGACAAUGGGCGCAAGCCUGAUCCAGCCAUGCCGCGUGGAUGAUGAAGGCCUUAGGGUUGUAAAGUCCUUUCGACGGGGAAGAUAAUGACGGUACCGUAGAAGAAGCCCCGGCUAACUUCGUGCCAGCAGCCGC